AAUCAACGCUGGCGGCGUGCCUAACACAUGCAAGUCGAACGAGAAAGAAGGCUUCGGUCUUCGAGUAAAGUGGCGAACGGGUGAGUAACGCGUGGGUAAUCUACCCUUUUGUGGGGGAUA
rnacentral:rRNA from 1 species